rnacentral:tRNA from 1 species
GCAUUGGUAUUUCAGUGGUAGAAUUCUUGCCUUCCAGGGGCGAGACCUGGGUUUGAUUCCUGGCCAAUGCG